ACAGAAGGGGAUCGAUCCCAUCCAGAGGAAAUUGGCAGACGAGAGGGCGCAUCCAGACCAAAUCAAAAUUGAUCGCAUCGCAUCCAGAGGAGGCGGCGGGUGACACGACGACAGGCGAGCCAACGAGCCUUCUGAGUUCCGAUUAACUUCGUCUGAACUCUGAUGAAGAUGUUCCUCUCGCCAUCGCCAAAACAGGGACGGUUACUUCGUUGGAGAUCAGUUCUUGCCCCCUUGAUUAAAGAUCAUAGUAUAGCAAUUCAUACGGACAGGACACGAGACUAGAUUUGAGUCAUCAUGGGGAGAAGAUUGAUUACGAGAAUAUCAUUAAAGAUUUCACUUCAAGGAAUAUUAAAAGAAUGAUGUUCAAAUAAAUAUUAUACAACCAGGAGUUGAAUAG